GGUGGCUUAGCUCAGUUGGUUAGAGCAACGGAAUCAUAAUCCGUGGGUCCGGGGUUCGAGUCCCUGAGCCACUACCA
rnacentral:tRNA from 1 species